UAGGUAUAAUAAAAAUCAAUAUUAAAAUGAAAAAAAUAAAUGAAACAUUGAAUUUCUCUUUUUUAUUUCUUUUUCAUCUUCCUUACUUCUUCGUGUUUUUCUUUCUUUCUUUUUUCUCCGCCUUACUUUUUUGUCUUUUUCUUCAAUUUUUUUCCCUUUUUCACAUGCAUGACAAAAGUACAAUCAAUAUCCAAAUCUAAUCUCACAUUGAAUCAAAACUAAAACUUAAUUUCUAUAAACUAAAAUCCAAAACUCAAAAGUUAGAAUCUAUAACUUACAAAUGGGUGUUGGCAGCAACCAUCAAAAUCCUCAAAAUCCAACGACCAAAACCUGAAUUAUUUGCCUCCUUAAUGUCACUGCAGAACCAUCCAACCCACCGCCGAUUUAGUUGUAUCAUUCAUUGUACGAAUAAUCAAUCAACUCAGCAAUCUUAGGCAAAAGCAUUGCCAUAGCACUACCGAGAGCUUCGUCUCAAUUCUUCUUCUUCGGCAAUCAAAAGCCUCAUUGAUCUUUCAUCUUAUCGCAACCAUUCAGCAGUCAAGACCCAUACUUCUUUUGCUCUUUUCCAGUAGAGAAUGACCACGCCGUGGCUGCGACAGUUGUGGAGUUCCAAGUCAUUGAGGACAUCAUCUUACAACAGCUCUUUGACACCACAACUACCCAUGAUUGUUUAUAAGGUUUGGGAUUGUUGUUUCAAAUUUUUGUUUUGAUCGUUUAAUUGAGCUACUAUUACUAGAAAAUUAGGAAACACUGUAAUUUGAUAUUUGGGAUUACUUAAUUUUUAAAUUAUGAAUAAUCUUUAAUCUUGAAUUAACCAUAUUAUUAAUGAUAGAUUGAAUUUACUUUAUUAUUGUUUAUUAUUUUUAGUUUGGUGAAUAAGCAAAUGAUUUGAAGAAUUUUGGGUUGUGUGGGAUGACUCUGGUUUUUUGUGAGACGGGUUUUGAAGUUUUAGAUUAAGUUUGUGGUAGCAUUUUUCUUUUGUUCUUUGAUUUUUUUUAUA
rnacentral:lncRNA from 1 species